AGUCAGAUGGAGAAUCUGUAGGUGAGGCAGAUGAUGAAUCCGUUGCUGGCUCAGGUGGAGAAUCUGUAGGUGAAGCAGAUGAUGAAUCAGUUGCUGGGUUAGGUGAAGAAUCUGUAGGUGCAGUAGAUGAUGAAUCAGUUGCUGGGUCAGGUGAAGAAUCUGUAGGUGCAGUAGAUGAUGAAUCAGUUGCUGGGUUAGGUGGAGAAUCUGUAGGUGCAGUAGAUGAUGAAUCAGUUGCUGGGUCAGGUGUAGAAUCUGUAGGUGCAGUAGAUGAUGAAUCAGUUACUGUGUCAGGUGGAGAAUCUGAUGUUGAAACAGAUGGUGCAUUAGUUUGUUCAUCUGGUGAUGGAUCAUCCGGAUCGGAAGGGCUUGCUAAUGCUAGAA